AUGUCAUAGCGACUUUUGGGGUAGUUUGCUUUCGGCAAAGGGGGACAAAGUCAUGGGGUGAGAGGGAAGGAGGGCCCAAAACAGCCUCCAAGACCCUCACCAUCUCUUCACCUGCUCCCCCUCCCCCCACACACAGGUCCUGUAAGAAGUUGGGCCCAGCUGGAAGGGAUUGACCGACGCCUCUUCGCCCUAGGCUGGCCUCUGCGGAGAUUCCAGGCCCCACAGAGACCAGGACUUCCCUCAGCGCCACCGCCCCUCGUGCCAAUGCAGCCGGGAAAUCGCCAUUACCCACAUUGGGCAAGAGAACCGCACGGGGGCAAUCGGAGAGGCCAGGAAAAGGGAGAGAUGGAGGGAGAAGGUUCCAGGUUGGCCGUACUCAGGAGCAGGCCGAGCGGCCCAGAGGAAGCCCUGGCAGCCGGUGCUGCCAGGCUCACUGCGGACUGCACCCCAGCCCGGUAAACUCGCUGUCGCUCGCGGGGACUGAAUUUCCUUCAAUUUUAAAAUUUCAUGUGGAUCGCCCAUGCCAAUUUAGAAUGAAAUAGAUUUAAAUACAUAAAAUAAAAAUAAAUUGAAAUAAAAUCAAGGCAUCUGAUGAAAA
rnacentral:lncRNA from 1 species